UACAGAGACUGCAAGCGUUGUUCGGAUUCAUUGGGCGUAAAGGGUGCGCAGGCGGUCCGUUAAGUCGGAUGUGAAAUCUCACAGCCUAACUGUGAUAGGUCAUUCGAAACUGGCGGGCUUGAGGACUGGAGAGGAGACUGGAAUGGUCGGUGUAGCGGUGAAAUGCGUAGAUAUCGGGAGGAACACCUGUGGCGAAAGCGG
rnacentral:rRNA from 1 species